rnacentral:rRNA from 1 species
AACGAACGCUGGCGGCGCGUCUUAAGCAUGCAAGUCGAACGGUAAGAAGGAGCUUGCUUCUUCCUAGAGUGGCGGACUGGUGAGUAACGCGUGGAUGACGUACCCUUAUGACGGGGAUAGCCGAUAGAAAUAUCGGAUAAUACCGGAUAAUCUCUUUUGGGGUAAAGACGAAAGAGGAAAGCGGCUUCGGCCGCGCAGAAGGAACGGUCCGCGUCCUAUCAGCUAGUCGGCAGGGUAAAGGCCUGCCGAGGCGACGACGGGUAUCCGGCCUGAGAGGGUGGACGGACACAUUGGGACUGAGAUACGGCCCAGACUCCUACGGGAGGCAGCAGCUAAGAAUAUUCCGCAAUGGACGAAAGUCUGACGGAGCGACGCCGCGUGGAUGAUGAAGGCCGGAAGGUUGUAAAGUCCUUUUAUCCGUGAAGAAGAAGAUUAAGAGGGAAUGCUUAAUUGGUGACGGUAGCGGAUGAAUAAGCACCGGCUAAUUACGUGCCAGCAGCCGCGGUAACACGUAAGGUGCGAGCGUUGUUCGGAAUUAUUGGGCGUAAAGGGCAUGCAGGCGGUCGUGCAAGCCCGGCGUGAAAGACGGGGGCUCAACUCCCGAAGUGCGCUGGGAACUGCAGGGCUUGAGUUUCUGAAGGGCAGCCGGAAUUCCACGUGUAGGGGUGAAAUCUGUAGAUAUGUGGAAGAACACCAAUGGCGAAGGCAGGUUGCCGGCAGAAGACUGACGCUGAGGUGCGAAGGUGCGGGGAGCAAACAGG